UACGGGGGGGGUAAGCGUUGUUCGGAAUUACUGGGCGUAAAGGGCUCGUAGGCGGCCAACUAAGUCAGACGUGAAAUCCCUCAGCUUAACUGGGGAACUGCGUCUGAUACUGGAUGGCUUGGAUUCGGGAGAGGAAUGCGGAAUUCCAGGUGUAGCGGUGAAAUGCGUAGAUAUCUGGAGGAACACCGUUGGCGAAGGCGACAUCCUGGACCGGUAUUGACGCUGAGGCACGAAGGCCAGGGGAGCAAACGGG
rnacentral:rRNA from 1 species